rnacentral:rRNA from 1 species
AGCUUUGAGCUAAAUAUAUUAUAAUAUUAGUUAUUUUAUAAAGGUGUCGUAAAACCUUAUUAAAAACUAUAUUUAGGGGUGAUAGGCUUUUCAAAAACUAAGAUAUCUUGAAUCUAAUUAAAAGUAUUUAGUACAAUUAACACGACUAUUAAGUGAUUAGGCUUUAUAGGAUUAUUAAACCUUAAGAUAUUUUAUUUAUUAUAAUUUAAUAAUUAAGUAUAUAUAUAAAAUAACAUUCAUAUAUUUUUAUUUUAUAAAGAGUAAUUAGAUAGAAAAAAGUUUAUUAUUAAUUGUAAUAAUGUUAAUAUUAGUAUAUAAUUUAUAUUUAUAUGAUGAACUCGGCAAAAAUGCUUCUCAACUGUUUAUCAAAAACAUAACAAUGUGAAAAAAUACAUAGCGAUUUCUGCUCAA